UAGGAUGUACAUCAAGGACCAAGGAUUCCCGU
rnacentral:piRNA from 1 species